GUUGACUGUUUUCUUGUUGACUGUUUUCUUGUUGACUGUUUUCUUGUUGACUGUUUUCUUGUUGACUGAUUAUGGUUGACGUUUUCUUGUUGACUGUUUUCUUGUUGACAUUUUCUUGCUGACUGUUUUUUGUUGACUGUUUUGGUGUUGACUGUUUUCCUGUUGACCGUUUCCCUGUUGACCGGUUUGGUGUUGACUGUUUUCUUGCUGACUGUUUAUGUUUGAGUGUUUUCUUGCUUGUGUCGGCAGUCGUGGCCAAAGGAGGAUUCAGACAAUUUUCCGAACUUUCUGGUUGGUUUCUACUGUCCGAUAUUGUAGCACGCUAACUUUGUUUGGGCUCCUGAACGACACGGGGGAGCAGCGUCUGCCUCACAACCAAUCAGGUUAGAGGAGGUGGAGAACGGCUUUGUUUACAGUCAGAAAGAGCGGACCGCUCAAAAAUGUUCAAAUGUUGACGACACAGACAUAAGAGAACACAGAGAUAUCAAUAUAUUACCAAAUAAUCAAUAACUAAUAACUAUUGACUGAUAUUAGAAGA